rnacentral:lncRNA from 1 species
UUUUCCGAUUCUCAUAGAAGCAUCUAUUGUCCCCACAUAAAACUACAUAAAUAAAUAAAAAUAUCCAACUCAUGCCAUUGGGACGCGUUUGGCAAAGCAUCUAAUAAUUGAAAAUUCCUCCUCCAAGUCAUUGUUUAUAGAACUUUCAAAGUAGGUGUUCCCUUGAUUUCAACUUUGUGCCUAAAAUCCACUCUAUAUAUAUAUGGGUCAUUACCAUACCCUCGAAUCACCACCAUCAAUUCCUUCUAUCCCUCCCCACAAAAGAAAUCUCUCUCUCUCUCUCUCUCUUCUCUCUCUCUCUCUCUCUCUUCUCUACUCUUCUCUCUCAUCCAAAAAAUCCCUCUAGAUGGUAGAAAUGGACUCAGACCGUCGCCAAAAGCAAAAGAAAUGGGCACUAUAUAUUAUAGCAUUUAUCAUUUUUCAGACCGGUAUCAUUGUGCUCUUCACA